GUGAAUCAUCGAAUUUUUGAACGCAAAUUACACUUUCUGGUAUUCCGGAAAGUAUGCCUGUUUGAGGGUCAGUUAAAUUAAAAUUGUUGUUGUUGCUAGCAGUAGUGGUGUGUGAUGCAUCGGUAUUGAGUCGUUCUUUACCUUUGGUUUAAGUGAUUUAAUAUUAUGUUCGAUGUUUGGACGUAUUUAAAUUAUUACUUAAGUUCUUAUUAUCUAUUUUUAGGUGCGGUCAUUAAAAUGAUUUCGCGUA
rnacentral:misc_RNA from 1 species